UUGAUUGUGGUCCACCGGUGUUGAUUAGGCUAAUUAUCUGACGCGCUCCUCCCGAACCUUGUUAAUAAAACAUCAUUUAUUUAUGAUCUAGAAUUUGGCAUGCAAAGAAAACCCAGACUAUAAAUAGAGUGUGUGGUUGUGAGAGACGUUCAGAAACACUGGGCAGACUUCUAGAAUGGCUCUGACAGUGAUUAGUUUUCUGUGCUUUGCUGCCUUUCCCAGGGCUUGGACUGCCUGCAGACUCAGGCAAGCUGGUAUAGGUACCCGUAAGAGUGACUGUCAUUAAUGAGUUCACUAAUGAGCAGAUCUCCUACUCCACUGCUGUAAUAGAGGAAGGGCUGAUGUUUGGUGCCAUAAAUCAACUGCAGGACACACGAUUUCAAGUACUCCACAAAAUUUUACUAAAUUUACUGAUUUAGUGCACUUCACAUGCAGUAAAGUGAUUGUAGUAUAGAAUACCUGAUUAACUUUGGUUGUGAUUUACUUACUGGUUGUAAUGAAUGACAACCAGUAAGGUGCCUUGAGGUGCCUUGCUCAAGGGCACCUCAGUCGUGGUAUUGCCGGCCCGAGCCUCGAACCCACAACCUUAGGGUUAGGAGUCAAACUCUCUAACCACUAGGCCAUGACUUCGCCCCAUGAAUAAGAUUAUGGGGAAAUAGGGUUUAUCUGGGAUAUGCCUGAGAUGCUUUUCCAGUCAUAUUGUACCUGACUCAACAAUUGUCUUGACAUGCCAUUAGAAAGGCUUAGGGCUAACAAAAUAUUAAGAAAAUAGAAUGUGAAUUGAAUUUUUGUGAUAAUUUUUACCUUUAACUCUGUUAAAACAAUAGAUUCACAUACACUAUUCAUAAAACCUAUGGCAUAUAUCUGGAAAGUGUGAAUGGAUUGGCCGGAUCUGAUAAGGACCAGACAUACUGGGAGCUUCUGUCUGAAAAAGGAGGAGUUAUAACUCGACUGGAAUUUCACAUACAGUAUUAACGAAAGCUUUUGCAUAUAUCCGGAGAGUGUGAACGGACUGGCUGGAUCCACUGAAAACCACACAUAUUGGGAGCUUCUGUCGAAGAAAGGAAACAGAAUAACCCGACUGAAUGUGGGAAUUGGCCGCUACCAACAUGAACUUCACCACUUGGGACUAAAAGUUCCAACUUGGGACAUUUGUUUUCUGUUAUCAGUUAUAUUUUGUGGUUAUAAAAGGGAUCACUCUGAUUCGGAUCAACUAUAUUAAUGCCACAUAUUGUUUCAAUCAACAAGUGUAUGAAUAAACUAAUAAUUUCACUGGA